rnacentral:rRNA from 1 species
GACGGAGGGAGCUAGCGUUGUUCGGAAUGACUGGGCGUAAAGGGCGCGUAGGCGGUUUUUUAAGUGAGGCGUGAAAGCCCUGGGCUUAACCCAGGAGGUGCGUUUCAUACUGGAAGACUUGAGUACGGGAGAGGGUAGUGGAAUUCCUAGUGUAGGAGUGAAAUCCGUAGAUAUUAGGAGGAACACCGGUGGCGAAGGCGGCUGCCUGGACCGAUACUGACGCUGAGACGCGAAAGCGUGGGGAGCAAACAGGAUUAGAUACCCUAGUAGU